CUCAAAUACUAAAUCCUGGGUGAGCUGGGACUUCUAUUCUCCAUAAAGCUUUGUCACUCUGCUGCCUGCCUUUGAGCCUCUGUUAAAGUUCCCUCAGGCUCAGCCUUAAAAUUGUUUACCAACUGCUGUUUACAAUCACAAUUACUGUAUAUUCUAAUAACAUAAUGAGGAAAUGGAAUAGACAGUCCCCAAGAAACAUCUGUAUCCAUCAGAAUUUGAUCAGAGAAGCAGCACAACUACAAAUGAUGAAGCAGGAGAGGUUUACAACAGAGAUUAGUGGAGCUGAUGGAGAAGUCGAGGCAGGACUAUCGUCUUGUGUCUGGUAUUGUGCGUAAAGUCACAACAGGUCUGCCAGACCAGCUGUUGGGAAAGGGAAGCCUAAUAUAGCAAGAACAAGGACAAUUAGAACAGGUGGGGAGUACUGGGACCCACAAAGACAAACCCUAACUCUUAAGUGACUCUCACCAACUCCCAACCCAGUGCUAUGAGAGGUUUUCAGGAGAAGCUGCGGUCCUUUGGAGCUGGACACGCAGGACUCAGUGAAGCUGAUUCAGGAGAUCUUGUCAGAACCGUUUCAAUCAACCUUCUAUCUAAAUGCUCAGUAAAAAAAUUAAAAUGUUAGCUUUAAUUCACGUCUUCUUUUUGUCUAAACAUAUUCUUCUUCAAGUCCUGUUAUUACUGCUACAAUGGAAUGUGAAGCUGCCCAUUUCUCUCCAGAUAAGCAAUUACUAUCUGGUUCCAAGUUGUGAGCAUGUUUCAACCAUGAACGUAACUUUCAUAGUCCCAGUUUUGAGCCAUCCCACCUCAAAAACAUAGACUCCACACAGUGGCCUUGCCCUAGCCCCAAAUUCAUCAAUGAUUUUCCUUGACAUAGUGAAAUCUGAAGUCCUUCCCUGAGCUCCAAAUCUCAACGCCACUCCCUUAAUCUAAAAAUGUAUCCAUUCAGCCUCACCCCCUUCCACUUUUUUUGACUUUAUUUCACCCCUGCCACCUUAGCUUCCUUUAUAUUUUGAAAUAAUUCUGUGUUCUUUAUCAUCAUAACUCAGUUGUUUUACCUUAAGCCAGCAGCUCUUCUGUCUGCAUGAUUCUUUAUCUUUCAAGUUUCAUUUCAAUAUAAUCUGCUUGCAAAUUAAUUUUCUAAUUACCAUGUUUUUGGUAAACAUUCCCCAUCUCUUAUUCUUCUACACACAGACACAUACACAUACACUUACUCCCUUCUCUAUCUUCUUCCUCGGCCUUAUAAUAAUGUAACUUAUGUUUUCAUAAACAAACCUUAAAAACAGAACCUGACAGAAAACAGUCAAUAUAUAUUUGUAGAAAGACAAAAUUAUCGCUUUUAUUUGUAUUCAUUUUAUUAAUUAUAAUGCUUUAAGUCAUUUCACAUAUUCAUUUGCAGUUGGUAAGUCUUCUGUAUGUUGACAGCUGAAUUAGCCCAUUUGUUUCUUUCUUGUGUUCUUUGUUUUCUUUAAAGUGCCUUACUUAUUUGUGAAGGCUAAGAAUACCUUAAAAUAUUUAUCUUUAGGCCGGGUGCGAUGGCUCACGUCUGUAAUCCCAGCACUUUGGGAGGCCGAGACGGGUGGAUCACUUGAAGUCAGGAGUUCGAGAACAGCCUGGCCAACAUGGUGAAACCCCAUCUCUACUAAAAAUACAAAAAUUAGCCUGCCAUGGUGGUGGAUGCCUGUAUUCUCAGCUACUCGGGAGGCAGGAGAAUCGCUUGAACCUGAGAGGCGGAGGUUGCAGUGAGCCAAGAUCUCACCACUGCACUGCAGCCUGGGCCAAACAGCCAGACUCCGUCUCAAAAAAAAAAAAAAAAAAUUAUCUUUAAUCUCUCAAACAUGUAACAUAUUUUUCAUCAUUUAAAAAUAUUUUACAGUUUUGUCAUAGAUAUUUUACAUCUUCUAAAUCAAAUUUAUCUUAUACUUUGACUUUUCUGACAUAUUUCCUAUGAAGUUAUUUUUCACCACAGUAAUAUAAAGACCUUGACUAAAAUUAUCUAGUCAUCACACAAUUUUAUAAUUUAAAUUUGUAUCAUUAACACGUGUGAUAUAUUUUGCUAUAUGAUAUGUGAUGGAGCGCCAGCAUUUUUUAAAUUUAUCUAUAUUUGUUGCCAAUGAUCUAAAUAAAUUUUUUGUUUUAUUGAUCUGUCUUAUGUGAGAAUCUUAAAGUUUUAGUAAGUAUAUCUUCAAAUUCAUCUCCGGCAUCUUACACUUUUUUCCAGAACUUUCCCGAUUACUAUCAUAUAUACUCUUCCAAAUGAAAUUAAAACAAUUUGAAAUAACUUUAGAAGUGUAUAAUUAUGUUUCUAAGUAUUGAUGAAUUACUUAGAUAUUUGUUUCUGUCUUUUUGUUGUUGUUUGCUAUGGUUU
rnacentral:lncRNA from 1 species